rnacentral:lncRNA from 1 species
CAUCAUAGGGUUCCGCAGUAGGUCGAAAAUCCUGAGCUUCGUCAAUAGGCGUCCUGGUAAAAAGGGGUUCGGUGAGGUUUAUUGGGGCUAAGCGCUGAAGUACACCGAGCCCCCGGUUUUGCAUGCGGUACUUCGUCACCGAGCCGUAGAUCCACCCGAUACCGCCCUCGUACCAUUCCCUUCUGAAGCUAUAGCCUCUCUCGUACCAUUCCCUUCUGAAGCUAUAGCCUCUAUGGAUAAGGUUGGAACAAUUCCUGCUGCUAUAAAGAAAGAAAAUGGAUGAAGUGAGAACUAAUAUCCUAUAAGGUGUUGGACUUACUACUCUUUAACUAAGAAGGUGGGAUUGUACCGGUCGACUGGACGAUGGUAGGAGAAAUCCUUUGAAAGGGCUAAUAUUUACUAACCUAUUGAUUUGAUUGGGCUUGCUUUCUUUGCUUUCUCUUAGCUUCCCUUCACUUGUCCCCUUUCUCUUAGCUUCCCUUCACUUGUCCCAUAUACUAGAGGAAUCGGGUUCUGGGUUUGCAAUGAAUCCACUCGCGCUUACUUACUUGAGUUUUAGGGUAUUAUUAAGUAAGUCCUCGCUUCUAAUACCCUUACAGCUACAGCUUUAGUAAGCUAUCUCUCUCUUGCUAGCUUGGGAAAGGCAUGAUAUGCUUGAAGCCGGCUCUCCUUAACUUAUGAUUUCCUUUGUUUUUUCUUCCUUAAGGGCCCCAUCAAACUCCAAUGGUCCUAUCGAACCAGCUAUUUCACCCUUGUACUGCCCAACCAGCUAUUUCACCCUUGUACUGCCCCUGGGGUGGGGGAGAAAGACCAACAAUCAAUGAUCUUGUUCAUUCAUAUCCACCCGUAUGCUAGCAACUAUGGAGGAGCGGCAUCUUUUCCUCCCCGGGCAUCUAGCUAAUGCAUCAUUUUGAGUUUCGCAUUCAUGCAUUGGAUCGCCCUUUCUCGUACUGUACAUUGUGAAGAUCCAUAUGUGCAUUAUAAUAAUAAGAGAAACACCUCUGGAAGUGAGCUACGGGCUAUUCCCUCUCGACAUCUGUUUAUCCGGAAGCAGCCUUUAAGUGCCUUUCCUUUCGCUUUUCACUAAUACUGGAUUUCUUUGAGCUUCACCUUAUUACUUAACCUUCUAACUAGUAAAUAUAUACUACCGUUAUGGAGUUUUCUCCUAGAGUUUGCUAUGAUGAGCUACUUCGUAUGAACUUCGGACUGCUAACAUGGUUACGUGCUACUUACUGAAUACUCGAGCACAACCUUCCUUUCUACGACUUCUUUGAGUUCUCUUUUUUCCCCGCCUAUCGUUGAUGCCUAAGCAUUCCUUUUCUCUAAUUUCGUUAAUAAAUCCGUUGUGCCUUGGCACCUUGCUUGAGCACUUGGCCCUGAGCCUCGAUAACUACCCGCCUAUAGAUAACUUUCAUGACCUGAUUCAGCUUUGACCUUUAUUUAAUACUCUCUGAAGCGCACUACAUACUCUCGUUCCUUUAUUUAAUACUCUCUGAAGCGCACUACUAUAUCUCGUUCUUUACUAGUUAACCUCUGAUUUCUAAUUCAUAGAUUCUCGCUAUCCUUCUCCGAGCUCCUACGACUGCUUUCUUUCUUUCCCCAUUUCCCGUUCAAGCGGUCGACCGCCUCCAUCAUUAGAAUUCCCCUGUCGCUAGUCAGUAAAGUAGUUAGUCGAGUGGACUCUCUGGGAAUAAAUGUUCAAGAGCCUGCGCUCAGGAAGCGAGCAAGAAGUUCAAAGACAGCGCAAAGGGCAAAGAAACACGUGUUUUAUAGAAACUAGAUGAGCUAUAAGCAAAUCAAUCCCCUUCUUUGAUCACUUUGAAAUGGGGUAAGACGUGGGCCAUCUGAUAUGAGGGAAUGUUAAGGGCUCGGCUCAACACUGAUCGAUUCCAUUUUGGAUUGGCGAAGAUGAUCUCUUUAGGGCAGUGUCCCUGGAGUCGUCCCACUUCAACAUCAUUUUCCAAUAGAACGCUUUCUCGAAGGCGAGAGUCGACCUUUCUUUAGAGGAUGAGGCUCAGGUGAAGGCAGAGCGGGGAGCCUACCGAUCUUAUGAUUCUUCGUUCGUUACUAUAGCCUUAACCACGCAGUCUUUUCUUUCUUAUACCUUCCUUCCCUUGUAGCUCCGCUUACUUAAUACAUGAAAUUUCGCCAUGCAUGCUCCUUUACCUCUGCUAUGGAAUUCAUAGGUUUUGUCCGUUUAGUAACUCUUUGCCGGUUCCUUAAGUUUCCACCAUUGUUAACAUACAUGUGAAUCCUCUAAGAUCAAGUGUCCAUCUCUUGGAGGUCUCCCGCAUCGCCAUAUGGUUGGCCAUGACUGAACGAGGCUAAUAUGAAAGAAAGGGAAUCCAGCUUUCCUCCGGAGCGAAGUCUUCGCGGAAACCAAAGAAAGAAAUCAGGAUAGAAUAGAAUCCCGCCUUGAGCGCUGAAAACAUAGAUUGUAAUAACUUCGUAAUAACUCGUACUUGCUGCCGCGUAACAUUAGUAGUUACUUGCCCGUCUCACGCUCUUCUAUUUGUAGGAUCGUCAUCUCGAUGAAUAAGAGUUCAAAGUGUAUUGGCAGUCGCCUCCUUGUGUCCGUUGUCUUUCAGACCUUCAUGCCCGCCAUAACCGUCCUUAACCUUUCUGUACCCUUAUCCCUUCUGUAGAUCGAAUUGUUUAACCCCAUGGAAUCCAGGCCUUCAGCAUUUACGCAGUCGUUCGAGCAGCCCUACGCAUUGUUGAAUCCCAGAGAACCCAACCAACCCGGGGACCCUUAUACUACGCAGCAGCAACACAACAGCGUCUUUGAAGGCUGGCUGACUCACACAAGUAUCAACAGCAGUUGUAGUGGAGUGGGGGAUGCGCCUAUUAGUUCUUAAGGGUGAUUUAUUGGCACUUUCCUUUGUAGUGGUAGCGCCCAGCCCAGCAACUAUUCUUUUGAUGAACUUAACCUUAGCCUUAGUUGGUCGUAUGCUAUUCUUUUGAUGAACUUAACCUUAGUAAAAGUAUAUAGAAGCUGUUCUCAUUUCCUCUGUGUUGGCGACGAUAUCUGAUCCUUAAGAAUCCCCCACAAGUAGCGGUGUUUCCCCCACAAGUGGCGGUUUUGUUGAAAGUGGGUCAGCUAACAAUUCCUCUAGUGGAGAGAGUUCGGGUCGAGGAAGAAUAAUAAGGAUAAGAAAGGAUAAGAAAAGAAGUUGGGGCGCAGAAGCCAGAUAAAUAUCUGACUAAGUUUGUUUUCUUAUAAGGUGACGGAUCUGUUGCAGGACUAGUGUUUGUUGGUGAUGGUGAAGGUAAGUAAAGAAUACUCGUUUCCAGCACUUGUAUAUAAGGCGUCAACUCGAACAGCUUACUUGGAAUAUUACCAAAUGCUAUCUAUAUAUGCUAGAUUCUAUUCCAUUCAAAAGGGUAACUCGGUAUUCCAGAAGUUUACAAAGAUUAUGUUUAUUAUGACCCAACAGCGAAUCACCUCUAUCGAUCGACAAGUAGCAACAGCGGAACAAUCACCUUAAACUCUCUAACACACUAGUUUCUGGCGGCAAUGGAGCUCCCCCUGCUCUUGCUUCCACUGAUGACUCAUAGCCCAUACUAUAUUCUUCCCCUCACUCGACAACAAAAGCACUUUCACUUUCCACUACUUCAUCGCCAACAAACUUACAAUAAGGGCCUGAGGCAAAGAGUCAAACCCAGUUGUCAAUCACAGAAUGCUGUUAAGGAGUGUAAGACUGAAAGCAGUGAUAACAAGAAUGUGCCCCAGCAGUUGAGGAGUGAACUAGCAGGUAGUAAAGUCAUAAUUGUCCUAGGCAGUAGAAGUAUUAAACCAGUGACAGGUGCUCCUUCUCUCACCCAGUAAGUAAAGGAAUAGAACUAAGUAGUAACAGUAGAGGUCGUGUCGGGUAUAGUAGAUAAUUGCCUGUUGAGGGAGUGUGAGUGGAAUACCAAGUUGUCAGAGUCGAGUCUACUUUCCUAGGAACACUAGCUUAAGGCAAGAACUGGUAGAGGUUAGUGGUUGGGAGUGUCAGAAUUGAACUAGUAAGUAGAAGCCUUAAAGCACUGAGACAGGCCCACAGAUUCUCCGAUGCUAGUUUCAGAAUUGAGCUAAGUGUAGUUAAAGAAUUCCACCGGGUAGACUCAGUCAGCAGUCUCAGGAAUUGACCUCAGAGGUGAGCCAGCCAGUAGGAAAGGAAGAAUCAAACUGCAGCAAAUAAUACUAAUAAAUAAGCCCAAUAAACACUUGAACUAGUGUGACACAACUAGAAUAGAACUGAGAAUACAAACAUUAACUCUCAAGUGGGAAAUACAGAAUGAACUUAAGUAGUUAGGGAAUGAAACGACUCUAUCACUAAGAAUUGGUCUAGGGAUCGGAGGAAUAAAAAACUCAAAAGUCCGCGGGAAAUAGGGAAUGAAACUCCGUAUUAGAAGAAUGCAAGGGUGAACAGAGGAAUCCGACUCAAUAGUAAGUAGUACCCUUACCGCAAUCAACUAAUAAUUAGUAAAUACAGAAUGAAUCUAAUCAGUCUAAGAAUGGAAUGAGCUUCACCAAUCUAGUUAUCUCAGGCAGGAAACUCAGAAUGCCAAAAAAGUGAGAAUGCUCGGGGCACUACAUCAGAAUUGAACCGACACCAAUAGAUAGAGCAGGAAUCCAGCAGGCAAAAACACAGAAAGCAGAAGACUGGGGAAGAGACCUCCGGGAAGGAGAUACUUCCCUCAGACAGGAGUACCAAUACUAUAUUCUCUGACUUAAGCUUUCUUGCCCUAAUACCUCAGACAGGAGUACCAAUACUAUAUUCUCUGACUUAAGCUUUCUUGCCCAAAUAUAUAAUAUAUAAAGAAUCAGACUUGCCCAAAUAUAUAAUAUAUAAAGAAUCAGCUACUUUAUUGAGAUAGAUUCCACAAAGAAUCAGCUACUUUAUUGAGAUAGAUUCCACAAAGAAUCAGCUACUUUAUUGAGAUAGAUUCCACAUUCCAAAAGUGGAAAAGAGGUGAAACAACACAAAAGGGAUAUUCUCGUCUAUGGGGGAGUGGGCCAAGCAUGAAUUCAGUGACGCAGUAGCUCAAACAAAGGAGUGGAUUUGAAGCUACCUAGCACAAUACUGAAUACUGUAAACAACAAAGCAUUGCUUUAGAGAUUGAAGGUAGUGUAGCGCGAAAGGAACACACUUCGGGCAGUAGGAAAACUAAUGAGAAUGGAAUUGAGCUCUAUAUACACUUAAUAUUGAAAUACGAGUGGAAAGAGAACCUAUAACGCUGAUGAAGAAAGGACGGAAAGUGACCAUCAGAAUAAGAAGCAACCAAAAAGUCAGAGAAUCCAAGGGCUCACUAGACGGUGUUGUAGGCUGGAGCUAAAAGUAGUAGAUUGGAGUUUUAGUGCAGAAGAACUCCGAAUUCGCUUUUAUGAUGGACAACUAUCUGAUAGACAACUAACAUAAGAAAGAAUAUAAUAUAGAUAAGAAAGAGCAACGUAUAGAAAGAAGCAAGUGAGUAACAGGAUACUAGGAAAGUCAGCGCUAAAGGAAGUUAUUCAAUGAAUUCUAAAGAUAAGGGAGUUUAGUAUAGAGAGAGGGGAGUAAGAGAUCGAUUGAACAAGUCGAGUGAGGGUCGGAACUUAGCAUCUUAACUUCCAGUCUUGUUUGGGGAAGAAUCAAUUCCCAUUUGAAAUUGUUUAAUAAAUUGAAGAGAAAGUCAAAUCAAAUAGAAUGCCCCUACCCUAUUUACCAGUAUAAGAUUCAUGAAAAGAGUCAGACAACCCCUUGUUAGGAGCUAGCUAUUAUUUGAUAGUAUAUGAGUAGAAGUAUAUGAGUAGAACAGAAAUUAGAUAAGCGCGACUAGCUCAGAAACCACACAAAGACAAACACAUGGAGGCCCAACUCAUAAAUCAUAGACUAACCAAAGAAAGCACAUGGGGAUAUUGGACGCGUGUCUAGUUCUCAUUGGAAAGGAAUCGGCGUAAUAUUCUUUCUGUCUCCCGCCUGACACAGUUUUACAGGCGGUGAUACCUGAUUGGCUCCAAAUCCAUAGUUGUCGAAAUAAUCUAAAGAGAACAAGCCUUUGAAACCGGGGUGACACAUGGUUGUACUGGUAAGCUUUGGGCUGGAGAUUGACGAUUGACUGAGCGUGCUUUGGCAACUCGUGGUGGAGUACUCUCAGACAGAUUAGCUCGCCAGCUCCCCUUGCUUAGAAAAUCCAUGUUUGGCAGAACCCCUAUCUCUUGAUUGAUCUGAUCAGACGCUUUUUCCCAGUCGGUACCCUUUACUGCUCUGUAAGUACUGAACUAGCACUAGCAAUAGCUUUUUCCAGUACAUGUAGAACCUAGUAUGAAAACCUUAUGUAUAUAAGUCCUAGAAACUCCCGAAUACAGGCACCUGAGUUAGCUAGAUACUAGACCUCCACUCUUGAAACUAAUACUUCUUGAAACAAGCUGCUUUCUAAUCUACCUAUGGCUACACUACUAUACGGGGCAAGAACUAACCUUUAUGAACGGACCUUGAACUUCACCCUCUCUUUACAGCACCUACCUGACCUCAUAAGAGAAUAAGAGUAAGCUAGUUGUUUCAUUAAAGUGAGUUGUUUCAUUCCCGAAGUCAACACCUCUUCUUCUCUGUGGGCAUCAACACCUCUUCCUCUCUGUGGGCCAAAAACAGGAAGAGCCAGAUCCUGCUGUAAGGAAAGUUAGCAGUAAUAGGUAUAUCAGCAGAGUUAGCAUCAGUGUGUCAUCAUUGGAAUUGUUGUUCGUAGUAGGAAUCUCUUAAGGGCCGCUUGUUCACUGGUCGGUCUGGUCUGCCCUGUUUUAUAGGCUUCAAAUGCAAUUGAAAGCGAAUGCGGCAGGGAGCUAGCCACUACUAAUCUAUUGUAUGUCCAUAUCUUAUAUGAAAGUGAGAAU